AACCAACAAGGACCUACUGAAUAGCACUGGGAAUUCAGUUCAACAUUCUAUAGUAACCUAAAUAUGAAAAGAAUUUGAAAAAGAAUAGAUAUGUGUAUGUUGUUGUUGUUUAGUUACUGAGUUGUGUCUCAUUCUUGGGACCUCAUGGACUGUAGCCCACCAGGCUCCUUUGUCCAUGGGAUUUCCCAGGCAAGAAUACUGGAGUGGGUUGCCAUUUCCUUUUCUAGGGGAUCUUCCCGACCCAGGGAUUAAACCUGCUUCUCCUGCAUUGGCAGGCAGUUCUUUACCACUGGGCCACCAGGGAAGCCCAGAUACAUGUAUAUGCAAAAUGGAAUCACUGCUGUAUACUUGAAAUGAACACAACAUUGUUAAUCAACUAUACUCCAAUAUAAAAUAAAAAUGUAAAUAAAGAAAAAUGGAAAUUUACAAGAAUUUACACUUGUGGAAACUGGCUUCUACCCUUCUGUACAGACUAGGAGACCAGGAUACUAUCUUCAAGUGUUGACUGGCAGUAAACUGUUUUUUUAGCCUUGAGUUUUUUCAGGCAGGAGCUGUAACAGGGGCUAGGUCAUCCCAGGGACACAGCCUUGAGUUGUUAGAAAUGAUGCUCAAGUUUGUUCAAGGCUCUUAGGUUGGGUGUUAGAUGGAAUCAUUUGUGCUGGGAGACUACAAGGUUGAAGACUAGUUAAGAAUAGGGCUCAGCAGAACCUGAGUUUGGUCAAGGAGUCUGUCAGAAUUUCAUAUGAAUAAGAGAAAAGUUAAUGCUCACGUAGUGUGGUAGUCAGAUUUGAAAUAUGAGUGCUAAUGAACAUCUUGCCCCCCUAAAUCCUAAUUGCUUUUCUUAAUAGAUAUGGAAAGCAAAACAGCCAAACACCGAGGUCAUAGAUAUAACUGCAGGCCACAGGAGCUGUUAGUCAAGCCCAGGAUGGUGUCAGAGUCAAACCACUGCAGACCUAGGCAAGUGGAAGCUUAGGGACCUUGUCUCCUGGAGGCAUCCUUCUGAACUUUCUCACCUUAGGACGGUGAUUAGGAUCAGGUCGUAGGGCUUAAAUCAAGCCAGACUGAUGCACUGUGCCUAGCAAUACAGACAUGGUUCUUGAAGAACUUCAAGAAGAGGAGGCAGGACUUGUUUUGAAAUAUGGACUGAGUUCAGGGGACCAGAGGAAUCAGAGGAUCUAGGAACACUUUGGUGAGUGGCAGAGGUGAGGGUUGGUUCUCUAUGGGUUCCAAAGGGAGUAGGAAAUAUAAAGCCAAGAACUGAGAAGGCUAUGGGGGUGGGUUGGGUUAAGAGAUUGUUAUCUAGAAACAAAAUGGUCAGCUCAGGGGACAGUGUUGAAGGAGAGGUCAAAAAUGCAUCCCUUAGGAGGAAAGGAGAGAGAGAGAGAGAGCCAGAGAGAAGCCUGUUACACACACGCACACCCCCACACUCUUCACACAUAAAGGUAUUUUUGUGUGUGUGUGUGUUAAAAAAAGUGAUGGGGUUGGAGAGACAUUGAUUUUGUAAACUUCUAUGUGGUUUAUUCUCUAUUUAUUUGGCCAAUAAACUGAGUCGCUCACAGGUAAAACCUAACUUCAUACCCCAGAUUUGGUUGGAACUAAGAAGUUCCUUUGUAUAUUGAAGUAAUUCAGGCUCAUGUUUAAAGAUUAAAAUUGAACAAACAAACAAAAAAACAAUACUUUAACCUCCCUCCCUUCUUCAUCCUUUCCCUUGUCAUCCCAGUCUUGUUGCCAGAAGGAGAACUCAGUGACUUUGGGGUUUGGUUUGCCUGUAGUUACUUCCUUAUGUGUAAAUUUUAUCACCAGUCCCUGUCUGUUGCCCCUCUGGUCAGAGGGCUCAUGAUUAAGUCAUUUAUACUACGCUCUACCUCCUCACCACUCUUCCCCCAUGACUGUUACAGGCUCAUUUUCUCCCAUAUAUAUAUGUACAUCUACAUUUUUGAACAAUCAUUUUUCAACUAAGGAAGUGAAAGAAGAUCUUCAGGAAUGAAGGAGAUCAGAGAAAUUAUUCUAUCAAAGGACAUUUAUGGAAAUAAAAUACUGGAGGGUAUUUCAAGCAAAAUGAACCCAAGGAAAGAUAAAGUAGAUGAGAUAUGUAACAUAAGGAAGAGUGGUGUGCAGCAAAAUUGCCAAAAGUAAUGAGUGUUAUUUUAACUGUGGCUAAUGUAGUGAUUUUUAAUGUAAUUUUUAGAAAAUAGUUCUUAACAUAGAAGAAGGACAAAAUGUAUUUAAAAACAUCUGAAACGAAACUUCCAGAUUAUUUCAAUUAACCUUGGGAGUUUGGAGGGGGAUGAGUAGAAAGAAAGGGAAGAGAAGUAAAAACAUGUUCAAUAUUUUGUCUCAUUGAGAAGUGACCAGCACUUCUAGACACACUGAGGAAAAAAAAAUACUCUCUUACAUUUUUAAGAGUAAUUACAAAUAGAAAUAGGUUACAGAACUUUAAAACCACUAGAGGGAGCACAAAGAAAGAAAAUUGUACAACCCGACUGUUAGGAAACAAAUAUGCAAGAAGAAAUUGUUUCAUGGGAACAUAAAAUAACAAGACAAGAGUAAAAAUCAAAGCAAAUCAGUAAGCACAAUAAAUGUGACAAAUUAAGUUCUCCUAUUAAAAUAAAGAGAUUUUGUCAUGUGGGAAAUAUUUUACCCAUUGUUUGUGUUCUAACUUUAUUUAUAGUAUCAUUCAUCUUCAGUUCAGUUCAGUUCAGUUGCUCAGUCGUGUCCGACUCUUUGCGACCCCAUGAAUCGCAGCACGCCAGGCCUCCCUGUCCAUCACCAGCUCCCGGAGUUCACCCAGACUCACGUCCAUCAAGUCAGUGAUGCCAUCCAGCCAUCUCAUCCUCUGUCAUCCCCUUCUCCUCCUGCCCCCAAUCCCUCCCAGCAGCAGAGUCUUUUCCAAUGAGUCAACUCUUCGCAUGAGGUGGCCAGAGUACUGGAGUUUUCAGCUUUAGCAUCAUUCCUUCCAAAGAAAUCCCAGGGCUGACCUCCUUCAGAAUGAACUGGUUGGACCUCCUUGCAGUCCAAGAGACUCUCAAGAGUCUUCUCCAACACCACAGUUCAAAAGCAUCAAUUCUUUGGUGCUCAGCCUUCUUCACAGUCCAACUCUCACAUCCAUACAUGACCACAGGAAAAACCAUAGCCUUGACUAGAUGAACCUUUGUUGGCAAAGUAAUGUCUCUGCUUUUGAACAUGCUAUCUAGGUUGGUCAUAACUUUCCUUCCAAGGAGUAAGCGUUUUUUAAUUUCAUGGCUGAAGUCACCAUCUGCAGUGAUUUUGGAGCCCCCCCAAAUAAAUCUGACACUGUUUCCACAGUUUCCCCAUCUAUUUCCCAUGAAGUGAUGGGACCGGAUGCCAUGAUCUUCAUUUUCUGAAUGUUGAGCUUUAAGCCAACUUUUUCACUCUUCUCUUUCACUUUCAUCAACAGUAGUGAAAUAAAGUAUAUAUGCUCCAAUCAAUAAUGAAUCCUUGGUUGCACAAGUGUUUCCAUAUGACCCUGAAAGGAUAUGUUGCCACAUUUUAUGCCUUAUUUAGAAAUUUUAAAUAUUUUAAAAAAUGGUUUCCAUCUAACAUAACAAACAGAUACUAUUUGUAUGUCCAAGGAGCCAGGAGAGAGUGUAGAUGACACAGUGGAAUCCACCUUAUGCCGGGGAAGGAAGCACUGGUUUGACGCCCAUGAGCGUGGAGCAUCCUUAAAUAACAGCCUAAUCACUUUUUUCUAUUAAAAUCUCUUCAUGUAACUCAAUCUCUGUCAAAUCCUAUUUAAAAAAGGAUUUGACAGGCUGCUUAAAAAAAAAACAUAAUCGAAGCACACUGGUCAAAGCGUGCCCUCUUUUCCCUUUAUGUGAACCCUUUAUGUGUUCUCAACAGGGCCCGCAUUAGCUGAUGGCUUCUUUACAACCAAUUCUUACUCUCCAUGAUUCUGCUCAUUAUAAGAGGAUAUUGGCUAAUUCUUUACUAGACAGGGAUUCCUUUAAGGCUGGAGUGUCCAAUGAGGAUGCCUUUGGGCCACACUCCUAAAGUCACUCCAGAAAUGCCUGUUGACCUUGGAGAAUUCAGGGUGGUUGAGUAGUGGAAGGGUGUGUGAGGCCCUUGUAGCCCUUUAUGUCCCCCAGGACCUAGCUUAAAAUGAAUGCCUGAGCUGGUAGUGUGUUUCUCCUUCUCUCUCAACACAAGUGUGCACGUCACCAUUUGUGUGACAAAAGCACAAUGGUAGGCGCCCUGCCAGCUGACAAGCACAGGACUUUCAAUCUAAGUUUCUUGGAAAACAACAAAAGAAGGUAUGUAAUAGGAGAGUUCAGGGAGCCAUGCUAUGGGCUGGGGGAAGGUUGCUGAGAAAUUAGCAAAUCUUUCUGCCUCUGAGCAGUGCAGAGC
ensembl:lncRNA